rnacentral:rRNA from 1 species
UACGUAGGGGGCAAGCGUUGUCCGGAAUUAUUGGGCGUAAAGCGCGUGUAGGCGGCUCGGUAAGUCUGCUGUGAAAGUCCAGGGCUCAACCCUGGAAUGCCGGUGGAUACUGUCGAGCUCGAGUCCGGAAGAGGCGAGUGGAAUUCCUGGUGUAGCGGUGAAAUGCGCAGAUAUCAGGAGGAACACCAAUGGCGAAGGCAGCUCGCUGGGACGGUACUGACGCUGAGGCACGAAAGCGUGGGGAGCGAACAGG